rnacentral:rRNA from 1 species
UGGGGAAUAUUGCACACUGGAGGGAACUCUGAUGCAGCGACGCCGCGUGAACGAAGAAGGCUUUCGAGUCGUAAAGUUCUUUUCUAUUGGAAGAUAAUGACGGUACCAUAAGAAAAAGCCCCGGCUAACUACGUGCCAGCAGCCGCGGUAAUACGUAGGGGGCUAGCGUUGUCCGGAAUCACUGGGCGUAAAGGGUUCGCAGGCGGAAAUGCAAGUCAGGUGUAAAAGGCAGUAGCUUAACUACUGUAAGCAUUUGAAACUGCAUAUCUUGAGAAGAGUAGAGGUAAGCGGAAUUUUUAGUGUAGCGGUGAAAUGCGUAGAUAUUAAAAAGAAUACCGGUGGCGAAGGCGACUUACUGGGCUAAUUCUGACGCUGAGGAACGAAAGAGUGGGUAGCAAACAGG